GUCAACGUAGCAAAACCCGGCCUUGCAAAAGAUCUAAGCCCUUUGGAUAGAGGUUCAAAUCCUCUCGUUCACC
rnacentral:tRNA from 1 species